ACACAGAGCUUCCCGCAAAAUGGCCUCCAUCAUGAACCUUGUAGCCAAAUUGCGGGGUUCCUGGAUCCUCACACUUGAUGAGUUCAAAACCUGCCGACGAGAGGAGAGAUGGGGUGCCAGUUCUGUGCCCAGCCCAUCUCAGUGCGAAUCUGGUCUGUAGGAACCGGUAGCUGUUCUAACCUUUCCAGUGGAGCUCUGCUUUGUCCCUCCAAACCCCAUAUGGCACCAGCUUACUCUUCAGCAGCCUGGGGAGGCAAGGAGGGGGCUGCCUGAAGGCCCAAGCCAUCUGUUUCUGCACACAGGCACACUGGAAGCACCCGACAUCUCUGCAUUGCUAAAUAAUCCUGUCCUUCCAGAUGAGAUAGCAGUCCUCCCGCCUGACCCCACCCCACCGUGGCAGUGGCCUGUCUUGACUACUCUCCUAGACAUGGCCCCUGGGAUGAAGCAGCAUGGAAUUAAAAUGACCAGUGUGUCACGGUGCCUUUCCUUUCCCCAAGCUCAGCCUCUGCCCCUUCCCUCCUAAAAUGAGGGCUCCAGCGAGGGCCUGCUGGGCUUGCCAUGGGUGGAAUCGCGCAGGCAUCUGGCUUCCCUCACUCCCAUCUGUCCCCUGAACUUCUGAGCACCAGCAAAGACAACAGUCAUCAGAAUAAUGAACUGGCUCCCCAGGUUCUGAGGUUGCUGCUCCUUUCCAGAUAAUUGUACAAAUAACAACAGAAGUUGUGAUUGAGUGAAGGACCCCCCUAGUGCUUUGGUAAAUAUCAAAGAUGGGAUCUAUGGGUGGGUGAUGAAUAUUUGCGCCUGGCACCGGAUGUGGUGCCAGCUGCCAGCAAAUUGGAACAAUAUUUCCAUUCUACUAUUUAUGAAGCAAAGCUUUCUAAAAGAAGCCAUCCUUUAAGCGAACAGUGCUGUAUAUUACAGAGAUUUGUUUAGGCCCCUGGGAGCCUCAAGUCUGUUUCCAGAUUCCUUGUACAGCACCACUGAUAGAUUGAGAGAAUUCUGGAGUUCCAACAGACAUAGAGAUGACACCAGUUCACCAGUGCUCACUGCAGCACCCAAGCUGUUAAAAAUAUUUUUACCCACUAAAACAUACUGGAAUUAAUUGAUCAAGGCAUUGAUCAUCAAUACUUGCUAACAUCACAGUAACAGAAACAAGCAGAUAUCAUGAACACUACUACUUACUUAUGGAGUCAUUUUGCUAAAAAAAAAAAAAAUCAAACCUGAGUCACAUCAAGUCACUGGAUCCAAUUUCUAACUUAUAGGAAGUACAGAGGACGCAGGAAUAUAUGAAAUGAUACUCUAGGAAUAUGUUCAGCAAACCUAGAAUAUGAAAAGUCCCACUGGAAAAAUUACCUGACCUCCUCAACAAAUAAAUUACAAGGGAUGGAGGAAAAAAAAAAGAUGGAGGCAGAAAGCCAUUGAUUAAAAACCAUA